UACGAAGGGUGCAAACGUUGCUCGGAAUUAUUGGGCGUAAAGCGCACGUAGGCGGCUUGGCAAGUCAGAUGUGAAAGCCCCGGGCUCAACCUGGGAAUUGCAUUUGAGACUGCGUAGCUAGGGUGCGGAAGAGGGAAGCGGAAUUUCCGGUGUAGCGGUGAAAUGCGUAGAUAUCGGAAGGAACGCCGGUGGCGAAAGCGGUCCGCUGGACCUCUACUGACGCUGAGGCGCGAAAGCCAGGGGAGCAAACGGG
rnacentral:rRNA from 1 species